AGAACGAACGCUGGCGGCAGGCUUAACACAUGCAAGUCGCACGGAGGGUUUCGGCCUUCAGUGGCGGACGGGUGAGUAUCGCGUAGGGAUUUAUCGUUGGGUGGGGGAUAACCUUGGGAAACUGGGGCUAAUACCGCAUGACGCCUGAGGGCCAAAGUUACGGCGCCUGACGAGAAGCCUGCGUCCGAUUAGGUAGUUGGUUGGGUAAUGGCUGACCAAGCCUGCGAUCGGUAGCUGGUCUGAGAGGAUGAUCAGCCACACUGGGACUGAGACACGGCCCAGACUCCUACGGGAGGCAGCAGUGGGGAAUAUUGGACAAUGGGCGCAAGCCUGAUCCAGCAAUGCCGCGUGGAUGAAGAAGGUUUUCGGAUUGUAAAGUCCUUUCGGCGGGGACGAUGAUGACGGUACCGCAGAGAAGCCCCGGCUAACUUCGUGCCAGCAGCCGC
rnacentral:rRNA from 1 species